GGGGCUGGGAGGGCCGGACACUUAUUUGGCGCUCGCGGAGGAGGAAGGCGGGGCCGUGAAAUAAGGCCCGACGGGCCCCGGGGCGCGUGCGCGGACCGACACUGUCAGCUCCUAACGCCGCAGGUUCCUCCUGGUCCCCGAGGCCCCCGGUCGGGCGUUGCCUGCCCCGCGCGGGCGGCCGGGCCGAGGGACGAUGGUCAGUGGACGGACGGCGCCAGGGAGCAGUGCCCACGCGCGGCAGGGCGGUACCUUCAGGCCUCCAGGCUGGGGCUGGCUCUGUUGGCCUCUGUGCUGGGUUUCUUCCUCUGCACCGCAAGACUGGCUCUCCUGACCUCUCCAGGUGUCAUCGAACACCCUUGUGCUUGCUGUCACCCGCUGCCUGUCUGCAGGAUCCCGGAUUCCGUAUCAGGGGACCAAAAUUAGUCGGAAAAUAGGAAGCAGGUCGGAAGUCCAGCCCAGCCUCACUCCGCCAAAAUCAGGGUGUCUGCAGGGCCGAUUGCUUUUGGAGCUCCACGGGAGAAGCUGUUCCGGCCUUUCCAGUUUCUGGAAGCACUUGAGCCCCUUGUCU
rnacentral:lncRNA from 1 species